ACAGCCAUAUACGUUGCUCGACACGAGCAAUAAUUGCUAUCGCAUGACUCGUAUGAUUCUGAUGUCUAUCCCUCUUCACGAACUUCACACUUCUCUCAGCCGACAAAGCUCUAAUCUCCUCAACUAAGUGGGCAUAUCUAGAGGUAUGAUGCCCAUGAGCACUCCCAGCCUGAACCACUGCGGCACAAUCCGACUCCAUGAUGAUAGGACACUUGCUCCACUGAAGCGCCAUCGCUAAGCCCUCCAUGCAAGCACAUAGCUCCGCUUCCUCAGGAUCCGAGCAAUGGAAAAGAGCUCAGCAAGCCGAGAAGACAAUCUGGCCAGCCUCAUCCCGGAGGAGCAUGCCCGCCCCGGCCAAGCCAACCAGGUGCUGGAAAGAGCCGUCCACAUUGAGCUUCACCCAGCCAGGAGGCGGCUUCUCCCAAUUCUUCAGAUCAGUAGGUGCCUUGGGUUUGACCGAUGGAGCAGCCUUGAAAUCAAAGACCAACUCCUUGCCUUUAGCAGGAUCCAUUAGGGGAUCAAGAGUGGAUUCCAUUUUUUACCCCCUCUUUGAAACUUUUUGACACAAUCUAACCCAUUUAAGGAAAUUUCCAAAAUUAUACCCUAUUUAACCAAACUUUUGCCACUAAAUACCCCUUUUGAUAUUUUCUGCCAAAUCUGACGUUUUCUGACGAGCCGGGCGCACUUUUAAGGCCGCCUUCGGGGCCGAACCGGCCCGGUUCAGUUCAGGUGCCGGUCCGGUUUUCUUCUGGCUCCAUGCUUUUUUUUAGAGAGAGCAUUUCAGGCUCAUGCAAACCUGGGCGGCCGUGACUUGGGCCGUGAAUUUGGCCAUCAGUUAAGGACGCCCGCGUCAGUUUCGCUCUUAUCUCCCGAUUUGUACUCCCGCCUCUCCCCAACCUGAGCAGAUUGAUCGCAGCGACGAGUUUGGCGAAUAAGGCAGGGCGGCGCCGGCGCGGAGGGACGGUGAUCACGGGUAAUCGGCGAUCGCAGCGACUGACGGCAGAACCGAUGGCAGAGGACAUGUGGAUUGUGAAGUAUAUUUCUCAUGACCGUGCACGUAGCAGCCCAGAGUCUGAUUUGAUUGACAGGGACUAUAUUAGCUACUUUGAUAUCAAGGAGAGGAUUAAAGAACUUGGUUUUCAGAAGGAGGACAGCGUGUACUACAUGAGUAAAGGCCAAAUGAUGGUUGAGUUGAAAGAUGAUGCUGCUGUCAUGAACAUGUUGGAUGAAAAUAAGUUUGGACAAAUGUUAAUUUUGGAAGAAGCUCUAGGGGCAGACUCUACUCAUGGUUCACUAUUGGUGCAAAUGCAGCAGCCAGAGAUAGGGCUGCUGAGGAAUGAUCCUUAUCCUAUUCUCAUUUUUACCUAGUUGAUGUGAACCAUAUAUCUAGUGUGAGUCAAUUAUGAAUCAUGUGAACCAUAUAUCCUAUUCAGAGGUUGCUAGUUGUUGUGAACAA